CGAAGCAACGCGAAGAACCUUACCAGGCCUUGACAUGCAGAGAACUUUCCAGAGAUGGAUUGGUGCCUUCGGGAACUCUGACACAGGUGCUGCAUGGCUGUCGUCAGCUCGUGUCGUGAGAUGUUGGGUUAAGUCCCGUAACGAGCGCAACCCCUGUCCUUAGUUACCAGCACGUUAUGGUGGGCACUCUAAGGAGACUGCCGGUGCAAACCGGAGGAAGUGGGGAUGACGUCAAGUCAUCAUGACCCUUACGGCCUGGGCUACACACGUGCUACAAUGGUCGGUACAAAGGGUUGCCAAGCCGCGAGGUGGAGCUAAUCCCAUAAAACCGAUCGUAGUCCGGAUCGCAGUCUGCAACUCGACUGCGUGAAGUCGGAAUCGCUAGUAAUCGUGAAUCAGAAUGUCACGGUGAAUACGUUCCCGGGCCUU
rnacentral:rRNA from 1 species